GAUGAACGCUGGCGGCGUGCCUAAUACAUGCAAGUCGAGCGAACAGACGAGGAGCUUGCUCUUCUGACGUUAGCGGCGGACGGGUGAGUAACACGUAGAUAACCUACCUAUAAGACUGGGAUAACUUCGGGAAACCGGAGCUAAUACCGGAUAAUAUAUUGAACCGCAUGGUUCAUUAGUGAAAGACGGAUUUGCUGUCCCUCAUAGAUGGAUCCGCGCCGCAUUAGCAAGUUGGGAAGGUAACGGCUUACCAAGGCAACGAUGCGUAGCCGACCUGAGAGGGUGAUCGGCCACACUGGAACUGAGACACGGUCCAGACUCCUACGGGAGGCAGCAGUAGGGAAUCUUCCGCAAUGGGCGAAAGCCUGACGGAGCAACGCCGCGUGAGUGAUGAAGGUCUUCGGAUCGUAAAACUCUGUUAUUAGGGAAGAACAAAUGUGUAAGUAACUAUGCACGUCUUGACGGUACCUAAUCAGAAAGCCACGGCUAACUACGUG
rnacentral:rRNA from 1 species